UCGAGAAUCUUGGGCAAUGCGCGAAAGCGUGACCCAGCAAUGCCGCGUGCAGGAUGAAGGCCUUCGGGUUGUAAACUGCUGUCACCCGGGACGAAGAAUUGACGGUACCGGGAGAGGAAGCCACGGCUAACUACGUGCCAGCAGCCGCGGUAAUACGUAGGUGGCGAGCGUUGUUCGGAUUUAUUGGGCGUAAAGGGUCUGUAGGGGGUUGAUUAAGUCUGAUGUGAAAUCCCGCAGCUCAACUGCGGAACUGCAUUGGAGACUAAUUGACUAGAGUUCUGGAGAGGCAAGCGGAAUUCCAGGUGUAGCGGUGGAAUGCGUAGAUAUCUGGAAGAACACCGAUAGCGAAGGCAGCUUGCUGGACAGUGACUGACCCUGAAAGACGAAAGCGUGGGGAGCA
rnacentral:rRNA from 1 species